GAUGAACGCUAGCGGCAGGCUUAACACAUGCAAGUCGAGGGGCAGCAGGGGUAGCAAUACUCGCUGGCGACCGGCAAACGGGUGCGGAACACGUACGCAAUCUACCAUUAUCUGGGGCAUAGCCCGAAGAAAUUCGGAUUAACACCCCAUAAUUUAUUUAGGUGGCAUCACCUGGAUAGUAAAACUCCGGUGGAUAAUGAUGAGCGUGCGUCCCAUUAGCUAGUUGGUAGGGUAACGGCCUACCAAGGCGACGAUGGGUAGCUGGUGUGAGAGCUCGACCAGCCACACGGGCACUGGGGCGCGGGCCCGACUCCUACGGGAGGCAGCAGUGAGGAAUAUUGGUCAAUGGACGCAAGUCUGAACCAGCCAUGCCGCGUGAAGGAUGAAGGCCUUCUGGGUUGUAAACUUCUUUUACUAGGGAAGAAACCUCCGAUUUCUAUUGGAGCCGACGGUACCUAGGGAAUAAGCACCGGCUAACUCCGUGCCAGCCGCCGCCGUAAGAC
rnacentral:rRNA from 1 species